GACGAACCGUGCGAACGUUAUUCGGAAUCACUGGGCUUAAAGCGCGUGUAGGCGGGAGGGCACGUCCGUUGCUGAAAUCCCCCGGCUCAACCGGGGAACGGGCGCGGAUACGACCUUCCUGGAGGGGCGUAGGGGGACCUGGAACUUCCGGUGGAGCGGUGAAAUGCGUUGAGAUCGGAAGGAACGCCCGUGGCGAAAGCGAGGUCCUGGACGCCUACUGACGCUGAGACGCGAAAGCGUGGGGAGCAAACAGG
rnacentral:rRNA from 1 species